GUUGUGCUCGAUUACAUGUCUUAUUCGUGCUAUCUAUAUCUCAGAAAAAACAGAGUAUGGAAGGCCCGUGGUUUGCACACGAGAAAUUAUAGUGGCCUACACAGUCAUGGCUCUCCUGCUGUCUGCACUUUCUUUAGAGACCUUCCCACGAACCAAAUAAAAAAAUAUCAACACUUGCGUGUCUUCCCAACCUGUAAUUAAAUGAUUUCCGGUCUAAGCUAUUGCUGGUUCACCCGUAAUAAAUUCAGGUCUGGCAUGAUGAUACCUUUGUAAUGUCGGAUGAGUGCUGGUUUCAGCGAUUCUCCAUUGGACUCCAUGGCAGCACUGUGCAGGCGUAGCACAACAAAAGCUCCAACGCAAAGCACCGACGGCCCAAGGCUUUGCUCCAUUAGAAGUCCAUGGCAGCACCAUGU
rnacentral:lncRNA from 1 species